rnacentral:rRNA from 1 species
GCGGCGAGCCUAAUACAUGCAAGUCGAGCGAAUGGAUUAAGAGCUUGCUCUUAUGAAGUUAGCGGCGGACGGGUGAGUAACACGUGGGUAACCUGCCCAUAAGACUGGGAUAACUCCGGGAAACCGGGGCUAAUACCGGAUAACAUUUUGAACCGCAUGGUUCGAAAUUGAAAGGCGGCUUCGGCUGUCACUUAUGGAUGGACCCGCGUCGCAUUAGCUAGUUGGUGAGGUAACGGCUCACCAAGGCAACGAUGCGUAGCCGACCUGAGAGGGUGAUCGGCCACACUGGGACUGAGACACGGCCCAGACUCCUACGGGAGGCAGCAGUAGGGAAUCUUCCGCAAUGGACGAAAGUCUGACGGAGCAACGCCGCGUGAGUGAUGAAGGCUUUCGGGUCGUAAAACUCUGUUGUUAGGGAAGAACAAGUGCUAGUUGAAUAAGCUGGCACCUUGACGGUACCUAACCAGAAAGCCACGGCUAACUACGUGCCAGCAGCCGCGGUAAUACGUAGGUGGCAAGCGUUAUCCGGAAUUAUUGGGCGUAAAGCGCGCGCAGGUGGUUUCUUAAGUCUGAUGUGAAAGCCCACGGCUCAACCGUGGAGGGUCAUUGGAAACUGGGAGACUUGAGUGCAGAAGAGGAAAGUGGAAUUCCAUGUGUAGCGGUGAAAUGCGUAGAGAUAUGGAGGAACACCAGUGGCGAAGGCGACUUUCUGGUCUGUAACUGACACUGAGGCGCG